CGUAGGCGGUUUGGUUAGUCUGGUGUGAAAUCCCGGGGCUUAACCCCGGAACUGCACUGGAUACUGCCAGGCUUGAGUGCGGGAGAGGAGAGUGGAAUUCCCAGUGUAGAGGUGAAAUUCGUAGAUAUUGGGAGGAACACCGGUGGCGAAGGCGGCUCUCUGGACCGCAACUGACGCUGAGGCGCGAAAGCUAGGGGAGCAAACG
rnacentral:rRNA from 1 species